AUGUUGAAACACACUAAGGGAAUAUUACUAUUUAAAUUUAAGUUAAAUUCAACUUCCUCAGAAACAGAAGAAGAAAACCCUGAUGACUUAAUUCAGUUGACUGUUACUAGAAAUAAAAUCAUGACAGCUCAAUAUGAAUGUUAUCAAAAAAUUAUGCAAGACCCUAUUCAACAAACAGAAGGCAUUUACUGCAACAGAACCUGGGACGGAUGGCUAUGCUGGAAUGAUGUUGCUGCAGGAACAGAAUCAAUGCAGCAUUGCCCUGAUUACUUUCAGGACUUUGAUCCUUCAGAAAAAGUUACGAAAAUCUGUGACCAAGAUGGAAACUGGUUUAGACAUCCAGAAAGCAACAGAACAUGGACAAAUUAUACCCAGUGUAAUAUUAACACACAUGAGAAAGUACAGACUGCACUGAAUUUAUUUUACCUGACUAUAAUUGGACAUGGAUUAUCUAUUGCAUCACUGCUUAUCUCACUUGGUAUAUUCUUUUAUUUCAAGAGCCUAAGUUGCCAAAGGAUUACCUUGCACAAAAAUCUGUUCUUCUCUUUUGUUUGUAACUCCAUUGUAACAAUCAUUCAUCUCACUGCAGUGGCCAACAACCAGGCCUUAGUGGCCACAAAUCCUGUUAGUUGUAAAGUGUUCCAGUUCAUUCAUCUUUACCUGAUGGGAUGUAACUACUUUUGGAUGCUUUGUGAAGGCAUUUACCUACACACACUUAUUGUGGUGGCCGUGUUUGCAGAGAAGCAACACUUGAUGUGGUAUUAUUUUCUUGGCUGGGGAUUUCCACUGAUUCCUGCUUGUAUACAUGCUGUUGCCAGACGCUUGUACUACAAUGACAACUGCUGGAUCAGUUCUGAUACCCAUCUCCUCUACAUUAUCCAUGGCCCGAUUUGUGCUGCUUUAUUGGUGAAUCUUUUUUUCCUUUUAAAUAUUGUACGAGUUCUUAUCACCAAGUUAAAAGUUACUCACCAAGCAGAGUCCAAUCUCUACAUGAAAGCUGUGAGAGCUACACUUAUCUUGGUGCCAUUACUUGGCAUUGAAUUUGUGCUGAUUCCAUGGCGACCUGAAGGAAAGAUUGCAGAGGAGGUAUACGAUUACAUCAUGCACAUCCUUGUGCACUAUCAGGGUCUGUUGGUAUCUACAAUUUAUUGCUUCUUUAAUGGAGAGGUUCAAGCAAUUCUGAGAAGAAACUGGAAUCAAUACAAAAUCCAGUUUGGAAACAGCUUUUCCCACUCAGAUGCUCUCCGAAGUGCAUCUUACACUGUGUCAACCAUCAGUGAUGGUGCAGGUUACAGUCAUGACUAUCCAAGCGAACACUUAAAUGGAAAAAGCAUCCAUGAUAUGGAAAAUAUUGUCAUAAAACCGGAAAAGUUAUACGACUGAUACUAGAGGGAGUAUUGCUAAACUGUGCCACUCCUAACUCAAGGAUUUGUAUCUGUGAUUUCACAACCAGAAGACUUUAAGUGAACGUCAUGAAGAUGACAAAGAAACCCCUCACAUGAACAUAGCCGUGUGUUGAUAAAUGUUUCAUAAUAGCUCCAUGGGGGAAAAAAGCUCUGAUUUGUAGUGUCUGCCAGUUUUUAUGGUGUAAACAUCCCCACCAUGGCUGAUUUGAAACUAUCAGCUUGACAUCACUGAAUGUAGAAUUGGGUAAAGAUGAGCACAGUCAGUUCUUGUAGGCUGGUGUGAGCUGGCUCUAGCACACCACUGCAUGCAUCCACAUAUAGAAGUUCAUAUACACCUUGGGCAAAAGAUUAUAAAAGUUCAUAUAUACCAUGGGCAAGAUUCUACUCUCACAGCCUAAAGAGACCUAGUUAAGGCCUAUACACUUGAAGGGAAAAAUCAGCUUUUCAUGUCUUUGUUUUUAAAAUCUUUAUCCCACAGUCAUUUGUGCAGAGGAUUUUUUUUUUUUUCCCAGAAAGUAUUUUAACACUUCUUGUUUUUACUUUUUCAAAUAGAACAGGUAAGGCGUUACUUAUUCCUAUUGGCUUACUCUCUUCUCCCCAGGAAAAACAACAGAGCAGAACCGCUAUUGGUUACUCAUGUGCUGGUACAUCACAGUUAUACUUUCUGUCGUAUCCAUUUUUGAGACUUGAUAAAUAGUAUUAUGAAAUGCAAUCCUACUUUGGUAUCAUUAGGGAGAUGUCUUGGUUGAUACUAUAAAACAUGCUGUCAACUAUUUUACCGUCCUACUAUACAAGUGGGAGGGAAUCUGUGUCCAUGUACCUGUAAAUAGGAACUUUGCUCCUCCUCUCAUUUCUACUAUGUGGACAAAUUAGCAGUUAUUUUACAUGAAGGAAAACAAUGAAGGAGUUCAUAUUUUCUUAAAAGUUUGUAAAAAAUUUGUUGUGAAAAGUGAGCUUGUAAAUACUCUGUUAUUCUAUUUUAUAGUCUCAAACAUAUACAAUCUAAGUAAGUUUUUUUUUAAAAAAAAAACUUAAUGUAACAUUGUGUGCUUGUUAAUGUCUGAUACUGUGUCUGGGCUGAUUUUAUAAUAAAAUAGGAUCUGGAAUUCUAUAUUUGGUAAAUAUUUUAAAGACAACCAGAUGCCAGCAUCAGAAGUUUGUUUGAGAACUAAGUAAUAGAAAUAUCUAUGAUAAGAUAUAAAAUAUUUAUUUUUGAAAACCCUCAAGGACCUUGUUUUAUUGAAUAUAUUACCUUUGAUGAUUCAUACCUUAAUAAUAGGUAUGUUUGACAUAUUUAUCCUUCUAUUUUGACGAUGAACUUUCAUUCUAAUUCAGAAAAUUUGAACGACUCUUAUAGUAAAUCCCCACUCUUUUGGUUUUACCCCAUUAAAAAUAUUACUUUUCUAAAUUACUAUAAGAAGAUAUAUGGCUUUGGAAAUAUUCCAAGCUAAUUUUAAAAAGUAGAGGAAUACAAUAUAUAUCAUAUACAAUUUUUAAUAUUUUAAUAGAGCUACUAUACAAUUCAGUGAAAGAACUGAAUCUAUCAGUGAGAAAGAAUGAAUGUAUCAGAACAUUUAGGGAAUAAAUAAAUUAAGAUGGAAGAAUCUUGCUAAUGAAUUAGAGGGACAUUUAAAUAAGAUUCAGUUUCCCUAAUGUUAUUUUCCACUGAAAUUUCUGAAAAACGAAAUGCCUUCUAUUAGUAGGUUAAUUUUGUCAGAAAAACUCAUAUGUGUUUUAUUGCAGUAUGUCAAUCUGCUUUAAAUGGAUUAAACUAAUGACUUAGUCAUCAUAGAGUGUUUCUUAAGCUGUCAAUAGGUGGUAAGUUCAGAAGUCAUUUGAGAUUGUCCAGGUUAAUUAUCCAAAUUAGUAAGAAUUAACUUAUUAAAUAGCCUGGUUGAUAGAUUUAUAAUUUAUGAUUUAUCUAUAUGCAUGGAGAAGCUGAUAUAUUGUUAGUUUUCAAUUUAUGGAUUUCAUAAUAAGAUGUCAUGAAAAGGAUUACAGGCUGUUCUGGACUUUCUAAUUCCUAAAUUAUACAAAAAUUCCUUUAAAUGAACUCAGUUUUUAGCUAUUUAUUAUUCAAAGACACAGAUUCAGACCCUUUGCUGGUGUCAUUCAUAUAUUUCAGCAUUUUUCCAGACAAACUAUCAAGUAUAAACCAUAAAUAACAGUAGAAAAUGUCAAAUUAUCAGUGGGCACUAUAUUAAAAUUACAUUAUAACUUUCAAGUAUUUUUACUGUGUUUUUAUCAUAUUAAGUUUAGAUCAAAUUUCCUUUAUGGCCAGGAUUUAUCUGUUGUACCAUCUUUUGGUGUAGGCAAUCCAUGAUUAAUUAGUGUUAGUUUUACACUCAUGUAUAUUUAGGAGUUGGGAACUGUUGUGCUGUAUUUAUUGCUUGUAUAAUUUUUUUAAAAUGUGAACUUAUUUUUAUUUUCUCUUGGUUUUAAUAUGCUAAUGGAAACCACCAUGUCUUUUAUUUCUAAAACAUAUUCAAGAUAUUCUGAUCAAUUUAAAAAACUCAUAUUAUGCCUACUUAAUGUAUAUCUCUAUAUUUUUACUGUAUGAAAAUAUUAAAGUUAUGAGCUAAAAUUGAUUUUCACUCACAUUUACUGAAGCACUGACUAAUCUAAAUUAUAAAUCUUUAUAGCAAUCAGUGGAAUACAUCUUAAAAUCAAUAACCCUGUAAAUCAUUCCAUUAACCAAUUUGUUAAAAUUAUAAUUUAUUUUAUAAGUUAGAAAAUUCCAAAUAAACUUCAGUGUAUACAAAUUCCUUCCUAGGCUGAAAGAAAUGAAAAGAUAAAAAUGCCCAGAUAUGGGAAAAUGUACAGAGAUUUAUCUUCUUUCUCCUUUAUAUUCCAUUGUACUAUUUUGUGUUGAAUAGCAGGGAGACAAAGAAGGAAAAGAACUAUUUAAAUAAAUAAUUCACCCAUUUAAAGUCAUUUUUAGUGUAUUAUAUUAGUGUAGUAUAUUUACAUAUAUUCAAAGAUAUGUAAGCAUCCCACGGUUCAUUUUAUUACACUUUCAAGACCUCAGGAGGAAACCAUGCAUGUUUCAUUCCUUCAUCCUUUCAUCCCUGCUCUCAGCCAGCCCUUCGGCAUAACUAACCUACUUUCUAUCUCAAUAGACUUCCAUAUUCUCAACUUUCAUAUGAAUGGAAUCACAUAGAACAUGAUCUUUGGUGACUGACUUCUUUCACCUAUAAUGUUUUCAAAGUUUAUUCAUGUUUUAGCUUGUUUCAGUUUUUCAUUCCUUUUUAUGCCUAAAUUAUUCCAUUGUAUGGAUUUACCACAUUUUGUUUAUCCACAUUUGUCUGUUGAUAUACAUUUGUGUUGUUUCCAUCUUUUGGCUAUUAUGAAUAAUGUUUCCAUAAACAUUUGUGUACAAGCUGUUUAUUUUAAAAUAUAUAUUUUAAUUUCACUUGGUUAUAUACCUAGAAGUGGAAAUGUUGGGUCAUAUGUUAACUGUGUUUGAGAACUGCCAGACUGUUUUCCAAAAUAGCUGGACCAUUUCACAUUUCCACUAACAAUGUCUGAGGGUUCUGCUUUCUCCACAUGUUUCCCAACAGAUAAUAAUAAGUUAUUAUCUGUUUUUGUGCUUUAGUCAUCCUAGUAGGUGUGAAGUGGAUUUUAUAGUUUUAAUUUACAUUUCUUUGAUGGCUAAUAAUGUUGAGCAACUUUUCACAUUUUUAAUGGCCACUUGUAUACAUUCUUUAGAGAAAUGUCAAUACAAAUCCUUUGUCCAUUUUCAAUUGGAUUGUUUGUCUUUUAUUAUUGAGUUGAAAGAGUUCUUAAUAUAUUCCAGAUGUAGGUCCCUCAUCAGAUUUGCACACAUUUUCUCCUAGUCUCUUGAGUUGUCUUGUCAUUUUCUUGAUGGUGCCUUUAUAGCACAAAAAAGUUAAUUAUAUUGAUGAAAUGCAAUUAUCUAGUUUUUCUUUUGUUGCUUAGUCCGUUGGUGUUUUAUAUAAAAACCCUUUCCCAAAUUCAAGGUCAUGAUCAUCUACCCCUACAGUUUCUUCUAAGAAAUUUAUAGUUUGUGUUCUUUGGUCCAUUUUGAGUGAAUUUUUGUAUAUGGUGUGAGAUAAGAAGCCAAAUUCAUUCUUUUUCAUUAUCCAGGUACUAUUCACUGAAAAACGUUAUUUUUCUGCACUGAAGAAUAUCCUUGUAUCUAUGUCCUUAUCAAAAUUCAAUUUACCAUAAAUGUAUGGGUUUAUUUCUGAACAAUUCUCUUGGUCUUUGUACCCAAACCACAUGUCUUGAUUAUUUUGCUUUGUUGUAAGAUUUGAUGUUAGGUAGUUUGAGUUAUUCUAUUUUAUUCUUUCUCACAGAUGUUUUGGCUAUUCUAGGUCUCUUGUAAUUCCAUAUGCAUUUUAGAACGAGCUUGUAAAUUUGUACAAAGAAGCCUGCUGGAAUUCUGAUAAAGAUUAAUUGAAUCUAUAGAUAAUUGGGGGAAUAUUGCUAUCCUAAUGUUAAAUUUAACAUUUGAUGAACAUUGGAUUCAUGAACAUUGGAUCAUGAACACUGGAUGACUUCAUACUUACUUCAAUUUUUAACUGUUUUCAAUGGUGUUUUGUAGUUUUUGGAGUGUAACUUUUUCAUUUACUUGUCAAAUUUAUUCCUAAGCAUUUUAUUCUUUCUGAAGCUAUUAUUAAUGGAAUUGUUUUCUUAAUUUUACUUUUAGAUUGCAUAUUCCAAGUGUAUAGAAAUAAAAUUAACUUUUGUAUAUUGAUCUUAUAUCCUGCAACCUUGCUGAACUCAUUUAUUAGUUAUAUUUUAGUGGAUUCCUUAUGAUUUUUCAUAUAAAAAUCAUGUCAUCUGCAAAUAGAGAUAGUUUUACUUCUUCCUUUUGAAUUUGAAUGCCUUUUCUUUCUUUCUUUUCUAAAUGCCAUGGCUAGAAUGUUCAGUAAAAUGUUGAAUAGAAGCAGCUAGAGCACACAUCAUUGUCUUGUUCCUGAUCUUAGGGGAAAGUAAUUAGUCUUUUGUCAGUAAGUUAGUUAACUGUGUUUUUUAUAGAUGCCCUUUAUCAGUUUGAGACAGUUCCCUUCUCUUCUAGUUUGUUAAUUGCUUUUACCAUGAAAAGAUGUUGGAUUUCGUCAAAUGCUUUUUCUGCAUCUAUUGAUACAAUCAUGUGAUUUUUGUUUUAUAUUUUAUUGAUACAAUGUAUUAUAUUAAUUCUCAGAUAUUAAAACAAUCUUGCA
rnacentral:lncRNA from 1 species